rnacentral:rRNA from 1 species
AUUGAACGCUGGCGGCAUGCUUUACACAUGCAAGUCGAACGGUAACAGGCCGCAAGGUGCUGACGAGUGGCGAACGGGUGAGUAAUGUAUCGGAACGUGCCCAGUCGUGGGGGAUAACGCAGCGAAAGCUGCGCUAAUACCGCAUACGAUCUAUGGAUGAAAGCGGGGGAUCGCAAGACCUCGCGCGAUUGGAGCGGCCGAUAUCAGAUUAGGUAGUUGGUGAGGUAAAGGCUCACCAAGCCAACGAUCUGUAGCUGGUCUGAGAGGACGACCAGCCACACUGGAACUGAGACACGGUCCAGGCUCCUACGGGAGGCAGCAGUGGGGAAUUUUGGACAAUGGGCGCAAGCCUGAUCCAGCAAUGCCGCGUGCAGGAUGAAGGCCUUCGGUGUAAACUGCUUUGUACGGAACGAACGGUGAAGCGUCUAAUACAGUUGCUAAUGACGGUACCGUAAGAAUAAGACACC